GGUCAAGUGAAGAAGCGCAUACGGUGGAUGCCUUGGCAGUCAGAGGCGAUGAAAGACGUGGUAGCCUGCGAAAAGCUUCGGGGAGUCGGCAAACAGACUGUGAUCCGGAGAUGUCUGAAUGGGGGAACCCAGCCAUCAUAAGAUGGUUAUCUUGUACUGAAUACAUAGGUGCAAGAGGCGAACCAGGGGAACUGAAACAUCUAAGUACCCUGAGGAAAAGAAAUCAACCGAGAUUCCCUUAGUAGUGGCGAGCGAACGGGGACCAGCCCUUAAGUUGUAUUGAGAUUAGCGGAACGUUCUGGAAAGGACGGCCAUAGUGGGUGAUAGCCCUGUACGCGAAAAUCCCUUUGCAAUGAAAUCGAGUAGGACGGGGCACGAGAAACCUUGUCUGAAUAUGGGGGGACCAUCCUCCAAGGCUAAAUACUACUGACUGACCGAUAGUGAACCAGUACCGUGAGGGAAAGGCGAAAAGAACCGCGGAGAGCGGAGUGAAAUAGAUCCUGAAACCGUAUGCGUACAAGCAGUGGGAGCCCACUUUGUUGGGUGACUGCGUACCUUUUGUAUAAUGGGUCAGCGACUUAUUUUCAGUGGCGAGCUUAACCGAAUAGGGGAGGCGUAGCGAAAGCGAGUCUUAAUAGGGCGUCUAGUCGCUGGGAAUAGACCCGAAACCGGGCGAUCUAUCCAUGGGCAGGUUGAAGGUUGGGUAACACUAACUGGAGGACCGAACCGACUACCGUUGAAAAGUUAGCGGAUGACCUGUGGAUCGGAGUGAAAGGCUAAUCAAGCUCGGAGAUAGCUGGUUCUCCUCGAAAGCUAUUUAGGUAGCGCCUCAUGUAUCACUGUAGGGGGUAGAGCACUGUUUCGGCUAGGGGGUCAUCCCGACUUACCAAACCGAUGCAAACUCCGAAUACCUACAAGUGCCGAGCAUGGGAGACACACGGCGGGUGCUAACGUCCGUCGUGAAAAGGGAAACAACCCAGACCGUCAGCUAAGGUCCCAAAGUCAUGGUUAAGUGGGAAACGAUGUGGGAAGGCUUAGACAGCUAGGAGGUUGGCUUAGAAGCAGCCACCCUUUAAAGAAAGCGUAAUAGCUCACUAGUCGAGUCGGCCUGCGCGGAAGAUGUAACGGGGCUCAAACCAUGCACCGAAGCUACGGGUAUCAUCUUAUGAUGAUGCGGUAGAGGAGCGUUCUGUAAGCCUGUGAAGGUGAGUUGAGAAGCUUGCUGGAGGUAUCAGAAGUGCGAAUGCUGACAUGAGUAACGACAAUGGGUGUGAAAAACACCCACGCCGAAAGACCAAGGUUUCCUGCGCAACGUUAAUCGACGCAGGGUUAGUCGGUCCCUAAGGCGAGGCUGAAAAGCGUAGUCGAUGGAAAACAGGUUAAUAUUCCUGUACUUCUGGUUAUUGCGAUGGAGGGACGGAGAAGGCUAGGCCAGCCUGGCGUUGGUUGUCCAGGUUUAAGGUGGUAGGCUGAGAUCUUAGGUAAAUCCGGGAUCUUAAGGCCGAGAGCUGAUGACGAGUGUUCUUUUAGAACACGAAGUGGUUGAUGCCAUGCUUCCAAGAAAAGCUUCUAAGCUUCAGGUAACCAGGAACCGUACCCCAAACCGACACAGGUGGUUGGGUAGAGAAUACCAAGGCGCUUGAGAGAACUCGGGUGAAGGAACUAGGCAAAAUGGCACCGUAACUUCGGGAGAAGGUGCGCCGGUGGAGGUGAAGCAUUUACUGCGUAAGCCCCUGCCGGUCGAAGAUACCAGGCCGCUGCGACUGUUUAUUAAAAACACAGCACUCUGCAAACACGAAAGUGGACGUAUAGGGUGUGACGCCUGCCCGGUGCCGGAAGGUUAAUUGAUGGGGUUAGCGCAAGCGAAGCUCUUGAUCGAAGCCCCGGUAAACGGCGGCCGUAACUAUAACGGUCCUAAGGUAGCGAAAUUCCUUGUCGGGUAAGUUCCGACCUGCACGAAUGGCGUAACGAUGGCGGCGCUGUCUCCACCCGAGACUCAGUGAAAUUGAAAUCGCUGUGAAGAUGCAGUGUAUCCGCGGCUAGACGGAAAGACCCCGUGAACCUUUACUAUAGCUUUGCACUGGACUUUGAAUUUGCUUGUGUAGGAUAGGUGGGAGGCUUUGAAGCGUGGACGCCAGUCUGCGUGGAGCCAACCUUGAAAUACCACCCUGGCAACUUUGAGGUUCUAACUCAGGUCCGUUAUCCGGAUCGAGGACAGUGUAUGGUGGGUAGUUUGACUGGGGCGGUCUCCUCCUAAAGAGUAACGGAGGAGUACGAAGGUGCGCUCAGACCGGUCGGAAAUCGGUCGUAGAGUAUAAAGGCAAAAGCGCGCUUGACUGCGAGACAGACACGUCGAGCAGGUACGAAAGUAGGUCUUAGUGAUCCGGUGGUUCUGUAUGGAAGGGCCAUCGCUCAACGGAUAAAAGGUACUCCGGGGAUAACAGGCUGAUACCGCCCAAGAGUUCAUAUCGACGGCGGUGUUUGGCACCUCGAUGUCGGCUCAUCACAUCCUGGGGCUGAAGCCGGUCCCAAGGGUAUGGCUGUUCGCCAUUUAAAGUGGUACGCGAGCUGGGUUUAGAACGUCGUGAGACAGUUCGGUCCCUAUCUGCCGUGGACGUUUGAGAUUUGAGAGGGGCUGCUCCUAGUACGAGAGGACCGGAGUGGACGAACCUCUGGUGUUCCGGUUGUCACGCCAGUGGCAUUGCCGGGUAGCUAUGUUCGGAAAAGAUAACCGCUGAAAGCAUCUAAGCGGGAAACUUGCCUCAAGAUGAGAUCUCACUGGAACCUUGAGUUCCCUAAAGGGCCGUCGAAGACUACGACGUUGAUAGGUUGGGUGUGUAAGCGCUGUGAGGCGUUGAGCUAACCAAUACUAAUUGCCCGUGAGGCUUGACCAU
rnacentral:rRNA from 3 species